rnacentral:rRNA from 1 species
AGAACGAACGCUGGCGGCAGGCUUAACACAUGCAAGUCGAGCGCCCAGCAAUGGGAGCGGCGGACGGGUGAGUAACACGUGGGAACAUGCCCUUUGGUACGGGACAACUCAGGGAAACUUGAGCUAAUACCGUAUGAGCCGGUAACGGGAAAGAUUUAUCGCCAAAGGAAUGGCCCGCGUCCGAUUAGCUAGUUGGUGAGGUAAUGGCUCACCAAGGCACCGAUUGGUAGCUGGUUUGAGAGAACGACCAGCCACACUGGGACUGAGACACGGCCCAGACUCCUACGGGAGGCAGCAGUAGGGAAUCUUGCGCAAUGGGCGAAAGCCUGACGCAGCGACGCCGCGUGCGGGAUGAAGGCCUUCGGGUUGUAAACCGCUUUCAGCAGGGACGAAAUUGACGGUACCUGCAGAAGAAGGCCCGGCCAACUACGUGCCAGCAGCCGC